CCCUCCAGACAUUGGGUAUAAAGUGCACAGAGCCUGAGGGACUCAGCCGAUUCCCGGAUCUCAGAUGGGGGCGAUGGCCCGGCGCACGCUGCUCCUGCUGCUAGCGGCCGCCCUGGCCCCGACCCAGACCCUCCCGAGCUCACAUUCGAUGCGGUGUUUCAAAACCGCCGUGUCCCGGCCGGGCCUCGGGGAGCCCCGGUUCAUAGCUGUCGCCUACGUGGACGACACGGAGUUCGUGCGCUACGACGGCGACGCGGAGAAUCCGAGGACCGAGCCGCGGGCGCGGUGGAUGGAGCGGGAGGGGCCGGAGUACUGGGAGGAGGAGACACGGAAAAUCAAGGGACAGGAGCAGUGGUUCCGAAUGAGCCUGAGGAUCUUGCGCGGCUACUACAACCAGAGCGAGGGCGGAUCGCACACCUUCCAGAAGAUGUCCGGCUGUGACGUGGGGUCAGACGGGAGCCUCCUCCGCGGGUAUAAUCAGUACGCCUACGACGGCCACGAUUACAUCGCCCUGAACAAAGACCUGAAGACCUGGACAGCGGCGGACUUUGCAGCACUGAUCACCAAAACCAAGUGGGAUCAGGCUGGUACUGCAGAGAGAAAGAGGGCCUACCUGGAGGGCACGUGCGUGGAGUGGCUCCGCAGAUACCUGGAGCUCGGGAAGGAGACGCUGCUGCGCUCAGAUCCCCCAAAGGCACAUGUGACCCUUCACCCCAGACCUGAAGGUGAUGUCACCCUGAGGUGCUGGGCCCUGGGCUUCUACCCUGCUGACAUCACCCUGACCUGGCAGUUGAAUGGGGAGGACCUGACCCAGGACAUGGAGCUUGUGGAGACCAGGCCUGCAGGGGAUGGAACCUUCCAGAAGUGGGCAGCUGUGGUGGUGCCUCUUGGGAAGGAGCAGAAUUACACAUGCCUUGUGGAGCAUGAGGGGCUGCCUGAGCCUCUCACCCUGAGAUGGGAGGCUCCUCCAGGCACUGACUCCAACAUGGAAACCAAAGUUAUUUAUGUUGUCCUUGGAGCUGUGGCCAUGAUUGGAGCUGUGGCCGUGAUUGGAGCUGUGGUGGCUGUUGUGAGGAGGAGGAGGAGGAAGAGAAACACAGGUGGAACAGGAGGAGACUACGCCCCUGCUCCAGGCAGUGACAGCUGCCAGAGCUCUGAUGUGUCCCUCGCAGAUUGUGAAGCAUGAAGACAGCUGCCUGCAGUGGACUGAUUGACAGACGAUGUGUUCAGUUCUCUCCUGUGACAUCCAGAGCCCUCAGUUCUCUUUAGACACCACUGUCUGAAGUUUCCUGUGAUUCUAUGGCUUCAGUGUGAAGAACUGUGGAGCCCAGCCCGCCCUGCACACCUGGACCCUGUCCCUGCACUUCCUGUGUUCCCUACCAAGGCCAACCUUCCUGGUCCAGCCUGGGGGUGGGUGGUGGGGACAUCUGCGUCCGGUCACUCCGUGAUACCCUGAGCAUCAGCUCCUCACUUCCACACUGAGAAUAAGAAUCUGAGUGUGAACUUGAUUGUUCACAUCCUUGACCCAAGACUGGAUGGCUUUUUUUUUUUUUCUUUUUUUUUCGGAGCUGGGGAUAGAACCCAGGGCAAGCGCUCUACCUCUGAGCUAAAUCCCCAACCCUGACUGGAUGGCUUUUUAAUUACUGGAUGGAAUGCUUAGAAAUUCUUUGUUUUGGGUUUGGUUUUUUUUUUUUUUUGAAAAAAAAAAAUAAGAUAAAUAGCAGAUGGAGAAGUUUCCAGAAUCUGUGUCACUAAGCUGUGUGUAUCUGGUGGGACAGGAUGAGGCGGUGGGAGCUGAGUGUGAACAGGGCUAUGCCCUGAUGUGCUCAGUCAGUUUUCAUCUUUGAUGGACUCAGCCUUGGCUUUGCCACCUUGUCUGGGGCCACCCGGCCUGCUUAUGCCUUUCUUUGCCUGAGCUAGGUGUUUUCUACUUCAUGGGCCCUGGUUUCCAAGUAGCAUACAUGGGGGUUACCACCGGCCAAGAAUACUGGAGACUUCUGCUAGCUUCCUUCUACACAAGAGUCUCCAUUGACGUUCCCGUGGGCUAGGACGCUUGGUGCCCAACGUCUGGUGCCUGGAUAGUAGAGGGGGCUCCGUGAGGAAGAAGACUCACGUAGCCAGGGUUGUAUGUAGAAAUACCAUCGCAUGCCAUGGGCGCCUGCUGCAGCCGAAACGAAGGAAAACGAUUGAAUUCGGCUUGCUGGUGAUGUUCCUUUGGGUGGUCCUUUGAGCCAAUGAAAAUCACUUGUGAGGCUUCAGUACCCGGUGAAAGGGAGAGGCCUGCCAAAUCCUCAAAACAACAUCCUUCUCUGUCACUUAUGCCUCAAGUACCAUCAGGUCUGCUGGAUCAUAUGGUCCAAGAUGUUGGAGCAGCUGAACCACAGCCGGGACCUGUUGAAGAGUCUUCACCUGUCCCAGGACCCACAGGAAGUUAGCAGCUCUCUGAUUCAGAAGGCUUAUGGGCCAGAGUAACAGAUCCAAGUGAGGGAUGUGCUGUCUGCAGAAUCCAAAGACACAAUUAAGCCCUGUGCUCCUUUCUUGGUGGUAGGAGGGGCCAGGUCAGGAGCCUUCCCUUCAUCUUGGAUGGAAUGUCUGUGCCUGCUCCAUCCACUGGAUUCCUUAAUUUCACUGAAUUAAAAGGAUUUGAAUAUUU